rnacentral:rRNA from 1 species
GACGCAGCCACGCCGCGUGCCGGAAGACGGCCCUAUGGGUUGUAAACGGCUUUUGAGGGGGAAGAACCCCGGUGUUUCGACACCGGCUGACGGUACCCCUCGAAUAAGCACCGGCUAACUCCGUGCCAGCGGCCGCGGUAAUACGGAGGGUGCAAGCGUUGUCCGGAAUCAUUGGGUGUGAAGGGUGCGUAGGCGGAGGCCUAAGUCGGAGGUGAAAUCCUGCCGCUCAACGGUAGAAUGGCCUUCUAUACUGGGUCUCUUGAGUUCGGAAGAGGUUGGUGGAAUUCGUGGUGUAUCGGUGAAAUGCAUAGAGAUCACGAAUAACACCGGUGGCGAAGGCGGCCAACUGGUCCGAUACUGACGCUGAAGCACGAGAGCGUGGGGAGCGAACAGGAUUAGAUACCCUGGUAGUCCACGCCGUAAACCAUGUAUGCUAGGUGUCGGCCCCUCCGGGUCGGUGCCGCAUUUAACGCAGUAAGCAUACCACCUGG